GUGGUGUUGAAUUUCCACAUAAGUUUCCCAAAACUAAACGCAGAGGGAAGUGAGCAGCGCUCAGUGUAUUAAAAGUGAAUUACAUUUUUGCGGUGCCAAUUCAAGGUCGAAUUGGCACCCAGUAAGAACCCAUUUGUGUAUUGUUCUUACAUUGGGAAUAAGUUUACAAUCCCCCAAGCAGCCAGUUUACCCUAAGAAGGGCUUCCAGCGCCACGCCGCGGGAUCUGAUGGAUUUAUUAUAAAUUAGUAUUCAUCGCUCAACCCGACAAAAGAUCUUUUGGACGUGGAAAUUAAACUCGAUGUAAGUGAAAAAAAAAA